UUGCGGAGGAUACCUAGGCACACAGAGGCGAAGAAGGACGUGGUUACCAACGAUAAGCUCCGGGGAGUUGGAAGCAAGCGGUGAGCCGGAGAUUUCCGAAUGGGGAAACCCUGAGUACUGGCUGUUGAAUAUAUAGACAGUCAAGAGCGAACCCAGCGAACUGAAACAUCUUAGUAGCUGGAGGAAAAGAAAUCAAAAGAGAUUCUCCAAGUAGUGGUGAGCGAACGGGGAAGAGCCUAAACCAAAGUGCUUGCAUUUUGGGGUAGUGGGACAGCGUCAUCAAAUCGUAGAGUUAGACGAAGCAGCUAAGUACUGCACCAGAGAAAGUGAAAGUCUUGUAGUCGAAAGCUUGAAGAUAGUAGCUGAAUCCCGAGUAGCAGCGGACACGUGAAAUCCGAUGUGAAUCAGCCGGGACCACCCGGUAAGGCUAAAUACUACUGUGUGACCGAUAGCGAAACAGUACCGCGAGGGAAAGGUGAAAAGAACCCCAAUAAGGGGAGUGAAAUAGAACAUGAAACCGCAAGCCUACAAGCAGUGGGAGUCCGAUUCAACGGAUGACCGCGUGCCUGUUGAAGAAUGAGCCGGCGAGUUAUAGGCACUGGUAGGUUAAGUGAAAACCACGAAGCCAAAGCGAAAGCGAGUCUGAAGAGGGCGCGAAUCAGUGUUUAUAGACCCGAACCCUGGUGAUCUAACCAUGGCCAGGAUGAAGCUUGGGUAACACCAAGUGGAGGUCCGCACCGACCGAUGUUGAAAAAUCGGCGGAUGAGCUGUGGUUAGGGGUGAAAUGCCAAUCGAACCAGGAGCUAGCUGGUUCUCCCCGAAAUGUGUUUAGGCGCAGCGGUUGUGAGUAUAGCUGGGGG
rnacentral:rRNA from 1 species